rnacentral:sRNA from 1 species
AUGAAAGGAUGACUGUUCAUGGAAGAACUGUUUUAAUUCCAUCAUAUUUCCUUUACAUUUUUCAGGUUUUGAACCGAGAGCCAUAAAUGAGAUUGAGAAGAAUAGAUCUACUUAUCGUCUUACCUUUGAGAAUGUAAAUGUUUCAGAUUUUAAUGAGUAUAGGCAACAAUCAAAAAAUCUAAAACAGACAAUCCUCUUCUAGGGAAAGAAACGCCAGGCACCAGGCAGACGAGACAACGACGACAGAAAAUCAGGGGAGGCAAUCAGUGUCACUCUCUUCUCCCCUCCUCAGCAACUCCUCAAGAAUUCCCUCUGUACAGCUCCAAAAAAUAGCUGACUAAACCAUAUUGUUUUCCUGGUAAUAUGACUUCCAUGUAGCAAAUACGGACUCCCAAAAAUAAACAAAACCCACGACUGAGAGAAGAAGUGUCUUGGGCUUAGCUGGCUCACUCGUUCAUUGUCAGCUUCUGCCUGUUGCUAAUGUCAUAUUUUCUCUGCAGUCGCCCACCGAUCAAUACUCACAUAAAUAAAUACAACUCUGUGUCAAUUGGAGGUCUGGUGGCAGAAAGGAGAGAAGGAGAAGAAAAGAAACAAAUUUUACAUGAGCCUUUCUGGUUUAUGUUAUCACCGGCAAUGUAUGUACGUCAUCAAUAAAUUGUAAUCAAAUU